rnacentral:rRNA from 1 species
GAUGAACGCUGGCGGCGUGCUUAACACAUGCAAGUCGAACGAAGCACUUUAUUUGAUUUCCUUCGGGACUGAUUAUUUUGUGACUGAGUGGCGGACGGGUGAGUAACUCGUGGGUAACCUGCCUUGUACAGGGGGAUAACAGUUGGAAACGGCUGCUAAUACCGCAUAAGCGCACGGCAUCGCAUGAUGCAGUGUGAAAAACUCCGGUGGUAUAGGAUGGACCCGCGUUGGAUUAGCUAGUCGGUGCGGUAACGGCCCACCAAGGCGACGAUCCAUAGCCGGCCUGGGAGGGUGACCGGCCACAUUGCGAGUGGGACACGGCCCGAACUCCUGCGGGAGGCAGCAGUGGGGAAUAUGGCACAAUGGGCGAGUGCCUGAUGCCGCGACGCCGCGUAAGCGAAGAAGUAUUUCGGUAUGUAAGGCUCUAUCAGCAGGGAAGAUAAUGACGGUACCUGACUAAGAAGCACCGGCUAAUUACGU